UACAGAGGGUGCGAGCGUUGUCCGGAAUCACUGGGCGUAAAGGGUGCGUAGGUGGCUUGGUAAGCGUGUGGUGAAAGUCCGGAACUCAACCCCGGAUCUGCCAUGCGAACUGCCGAGCUCGAGCAAUGUAGAAACAGGUGGAAUUUCGGGUGUAGCGGUGGAAUGCGUAGAGAUCCGAAAGAACACCAGUGGCGAAGGCGGCCUGCUGGGCAUUUGCUGACACUGAGGCACGACAGCAUGGGGAGCAAAC
rnacentral:rRNA from 1 species